UACGUAGGGUGCAAGCGUUAAUCGGAAUUACUGGGCGUAAAGCGUGCGCAGGCGGUUUUGUAAGUCUGUCGUGAAAGCCCCGGGCUCAACCUGGGAAUUGCGAUGGAGACUGCAAGGCUUGAAUCUGGCAGAGGGGGGUAGAAUUCCACGUGUAGCAGUGAAAUGCGUAGAGAUGUGGAGGAACACCGAUGGCGAAGGCAGCCCCCCUGGGCCUGCACUGACGCUCAUGCACGAAAGCGUGGGGAGCAAACAGG
rnacentral:rRNA from 1 species